GAUGAACGCUAGCGAUAGGCUUAACACAUGCAAGUCGAGGGGCAGCAUGGUCUUAGCUUGCUAAGGCUGAUGGCGACCGGCGCACGGGUGCGUAACGCGUAUGCAACUUGCCUCACAGAGGGGGAUAACCCGUCGAAAGACGGACUAAUACCGCGUACACUCUAUGUUGGGCAUCCAAUGUAGAGGAAAUGAAAUUCGCUGUGAGAUAGGCAUGCGUCCCAUUAGCUAGUUGGUGAGGUAACGGCUCACCAAGGCGACGAUGGGUAGGGGAACUGAGAGGUUGAACCCCCACACUGGUACUGAGACACGGACCAGACUCCUACGGGAGGCAGCAGUGAGGAAUAUUGGUCAAUGGGCGAGAGCCUGAACCAGCCAAGUCGCGUGAAGGAUGACUGUCUUAUGGAUUGUAAACUUCUUUUAUACGGGAAUAACAAGAGUCACGUGUGGCUCCCUGCAUGUACCAUAUGAAUAAGCAUCGGCUAACUCCGUG
rnacentral:rRNA from 1 species